UGGCUCAGUCGGUAGAGCAUGUGACUCUUGAUCUCAGGGUGGUGAGUUCAAACCCCAC
rnacentral:tRNA from 1 species